rnacentral:rRNA from 1 species
UCUAAUAGUGUUAAUGAAUUUUUUUGGUUUAGAUAAAAUGUUUAUUAAAUAGAAUUUAAUAUUUUUAGGUGAAAUUAUGAAUAUUUAAUAUAAAUAAAUAAAGUUGAGUUCUAUAAAUUAAAUGAUAAACUAGGAUUAGAUACCCUAUUAUUUUAACUUAAAUAAUUACCUUAUAAUUAAUAGUUAAGAUCUUUAAAAUAAUAAGAUUUGGCGGUAUUUUAUCUUAUUAGAGGAACCUGUUCUAUAAUUGAUAAUCCACACUUAAAUUUAUUAUUUUUUAAAUUUACAUAUCGUUGUUAAAAAUAUUUUUUUAGAAUAUAUUUGUUAUUUAAAUUAUAAAUUAAUUCAAAUCAAGGUGUAGUUUAUAAAAUAGAAGAAAUGGGUUACAUUAAUAUAAAUUGUGAAUUAUAAAAUUUAAUUUUAUAUGAAAUUGGAUUUAACAGUAAUUUUAUAUAUAUAUAUAAGUUGAAUGAGGUCUAAAAU